rnacentral:ncRNA from 1 species
UGUGGUCUGGAAGACUCUAUUACAUAUGAAAAUAAUUUAGACAUUUGGUGUACAUGCUUGCUUGAGGAGCCAAUGGAGUGAAGCUACCAUCUGUGGGAUUAUGGCUUAAUGCCUCUAAGUCAGUAUCCCACCCAGGCAGAACAAUACGGCAGUGCCAAAGGAGCCUUGGUAGGCCUGGGAUAGCUGGUCCCCCAUUCAUCCCUGCCAGCCUAGCCCAGGGCCCAGUCCUUGAGUCGAAGCAGGGUCAUCGCCCCACCACUGUGUGUCAGGACCGGGGUCUGGUGCCUCUAGUCCUGGGAAACAGGGUGGCCACAUAGGGUGGGGCCCCCACUCCCGUCAUGCAACACAUGUUCGGGUGGAACCUAGCACACCAUUUGUAGACGACCUGCUUAUGGAUUAGGGCUUUGUAUGUAGCAGAGCAGCCGCAUCACUGCAGUCUAUUGAAUGUCAGCCCUCGACACAAGGGUUU